AACGAACGCUGGCGGCAUGCCUAACACAUGCAAGUCGAACGAGACCUUCGGGUCUAGUGUCGCACGGGUGCGUAACGCGUGGGAACCUGCCUUUAGGUUCGGAAUAACUCCCCGGAAGGGGUGCUAAUACCGGAUAAUGUCCUCGGACCAAAGAUUUAUCGCCUUUGGAUGGGCCCGCGUUGGAUUAGCUAGUUGGUAGGGUAAAAGCCUACCAAGGCGACGAUCCAUAGCUGGUCUGAGAGGAUGAUCAGCCACACUGGGACUGAGACACGGCCCAGACUCCUACGGGAGGGAGCAGUAGGGAAUACUGGACAAGGGGCGAAAGCCUGAUCCAGCAAUGCCGCGUGAGUGAUGAAGGCCUUAGGGUUGUAAAGCUCUUUUACCCGGGAUGAUAAUGACAGUACCGGGAGAAUAAGCUCCGGCUAACUCCGUG
rnacentral:rRNA from 1 species